AGGAAUUUCCCCUCAGAAUCACCACAGCACACGAAGGCUGGGACUUAAGACAGGUCUGCUUCCAAUUGGCUCUCGCUGCUUCUUCUCAGAUUCUGAUUGGCUGUACAAGGUAUCCGUCUCAGAGAGCUUUGCCUGAUACCAUUCUUCCUCCUGCAGAACGUUGUUAAUUAUACAGGGUGAGUCCUUUAAAAGAGGCCAUGUGGAUACAGAGUACACAUGUUCCACGGGGCCUCUUUUAAAAGACUCACCCUGUAGUUUGGCUGUAUCAAAAGGAAAUAAUAAAUGCAAUGAGUUUGGUUUUUUUAUUAAAAAAACCUACUCCAAAUUAGCUAACAGAUCAAGCCGGCAAUCCUAUGCACACUUAGCUGGGAGUAGGCUGAACUCAAUGGGGCUUAUAUGUGAAUAAAUAUUGUAUAAGAAUAGCCUGCUGAAUCAGGCCAAUGGGCCAUCAAGUCCAGCAUCUUGUUCUCACAGUGACUAACCAGGUGCCUGUGGGAAACCCACAAAAAACAAAAACAAUUUCCCUUUCCAUACCAUAGCCACCAUUAUUUGUAGCCAUCGAUAGCCCUCUCCUUCAUGCAUUUGUCUAAUUCUCUUUUAAAGCCAUCUAGGUUGGUUGCCACCAUGGCCUCAUUGGGGACCAAUUUCCAUCGUUUAACCAUGCACUCAGGAAGAAGUGCUUUUUUUCAAUAUGUCCUGAAUCUUCCCACAUUCAGCUUCAUUGAAUGUCCAUGAGUCCUCUUGUUAUGAGGGGAAUAAAAAACUUCCCUAUCCAGUUUCUCCAUGCCAUGCAUAAUUUUAUAAACUUCUAUCAGAUCGUCUCUUACUUGCCUUUUCUCCAAACUAAAAAGUCCCAAAUGCUGUGAUCUUUCUUCAUAGACGCGAUUUUCCUGACAUCUUGUUCGGUUGUAAUAAAGAUUUUGGCCCCACUGUGGGAUGCUGGACUUUUUGUCUCAUGGACCAAUGCUGCUAUCUUUGCUUCGUAUGUGUCUAAAACACAGAUUAUUCUCGACGAAAAAUAGUUACUUUUGUUUUUAUAUUAAGAAAAUGGGGUGGAGGAUAUUUCAUAACAUGGCAGUGAACAAGCAGGAACCUGGCAAUACGUAUUGCUAAAUAGUUUUGGGGAUGUUAACUUCAAAAUAUUUUUUUUCUGCAACCCAAAGGUAUGUUUUUAUUCUUCCUUACACCCACAGCCGAUUUAAGUCCUCCAACCCUAACAUUUUCAGAAUGCAAAAAUUCAGUUUAUAUUUGCCAAGUUGUGAGAUCAAGUUCUCAAAUAAAACAAACAAGGUCUGUGCCAGCCAUACUGGAACAUUGACAAUAGCAUAUCUGUCUAUUGCACACCCUUCCCUACAUGGCAGAUGCCAAUUAUUUUUUAGUUCAUUUUAUUAACUAUAUAUGUAUAUAUACAGGUAUACACACACACACAACAGGGAAAAUAUAUACAUCUAAUCUAAUUCAUAUGCAGCCUAUGUACACAAUUGUGUAAUACUAAAAGGGAGUAUCCAUUAUUGCAAUAAAGCAAAUAUCACUGUUAACUUCAAUUUCAUAUUUUGUUUUCCAAAAAUCAAUAAAUAGACACCAUGUUGUCUUGAAUUUUUAUAUUAUGGAUUUUAUUGUUGUAAAGACUAAGCCACCCUUGGGAAACCAACUUGGCCGAAGAGAAGAGUAAAAAUACCAUAGAUAAAUACAUUAAAUAAAUACAACCUAGUCUCUCUUGAAUUAGGAGGAGAAAAGGAAGAUUCCAGGGUUGGUGGUCAGUGUUAAAAGAAACAUGCAUCAUUUUCUAAGGGUUUUCAUUUUUUUAACCUAUGUGUUUAGGAUUUCUUCUUCCGAUAACCGAAUAUUCCAAAACUCAAAAGUGGAGACACUGUUUAUAAUGUUGUGAUGCUUGAGGUGGAAAUUCUGAUUGGUACCCCCAUGGUGUUAAAAACGUAAUAAGAUCCUAUGCAGAGUGUUAAAGAGGUGCUAGAAGAGAUAGAACAUUUUGGUCAGGUGUCCGGCUUUAAGUUAAAUAAGAAAAAAACUAAAAUAAUUGCUAAGAAUAUGGAUCAAGAGAUAAUAGAAAAAAUACAGCAACAAACAGAGAUGAAUGUGGUUAAGAAAGUUAAGUAUUUAGGGAUCACAUUAACUCCCAGGAGUAUCGAUUUGUUCCAAAAUAAUUAUGUACCAAUAUGGAAUAAAAUUAAACGGGACCUAGAGGUGUGGGGAAGAAUGAAACUAUCAUUAUGGGGAAGAAUUGCAACGAUAAAGAUGAGCGUGCUACCGAAAAUGUUGUUUCUGUUUCAAGCAAUACCAAUAAUUAAAGGUGUGACAAUAUUUAAGAAUGGCAAAGAAUAAUGUCAAGAUAUAUCUGGCAGGGCAAGAAGCCAAGAAUAAAAUUUAAGAUAUUAACAGAUGCAAAAGAUAGAGGAGGCUUUGCCCUGCCAGAUUGAAUGUUAUAUUAUGAAGCUUCGUGUCUUUGCUGGGUGAAAGAAUGGAUAAAGUUAGAAAACACAGAAUUGUUGGAUUUGGAAGGUUACGAUAAUAGAUUCGGUUGGCACGCGUAUUUAUGGUGUGAAAAGAAUAGAGUGCAUAAAGGUUUUGAAAACCACAUCUUUAGAGGACCGUUGAUUGAAGUUUGGAAUAGGUAUAAAAACUUAUUAGAGUUUAAAACUCCAUAUUGGCUAUCACCAUUGGAGAUAAUGAAUGUGAAAAAGAUCAACAUGACAGGGAGAUGGAUUACAUAUGAGAAUUUGAUAAUCAAAGAAGGUAAUAAAUGGAAACUGAAACCAUAUGAAGAAGUUAAAGAAAAUGUGAAUGAUUGGUUGCACUAUUUUCAGUUAAAUGCAGUGUUUAAAAAAGAGAUGUCAGAAAGAGGUUUUCAGGAAAAGAAAUCUAGAUUUCAUCAAGAAAUUUUGAAUAGUGAUGUUAAAAUUUUAUCAAAAAUGUAUAAAUUAUUACUUGAGUGGCAUACAAAGGAUGAAAAAGUAAAAUCAGUAAUGAUUCAGUGGGCCAAAGAUUUUGGUUAUAAUAUACAAUUUGAUGAGUGGAUAAAAUUGUGGAAAGAAGGAAUGAAAUUCACUGCAUGCACUACAAUAAAAGAAAAUGUUAUGAAAAUGAUGUAUAGAUGGUAUGUAACACCAGUGAAGCUUGGUAAGAUGUAUAAAGUCAGUAAUAAAUGUUGGAAAUGUCAGGAAAAAGAAGGAACAUUUCAUCAUAUGUGGUGGGAGUAUAAGAAAGUGAAAGCUUUCUGGGAAAUGAUUUAUAAUGAGAUGAAGAAAAUGUUGAAAUACACUUUUGUUAAGAAACCAGAGGCUUUUCUAUUGGGAAUAUUAGGGAAUGAAAUUUUAAAAAAUGAUGUGAAAUUAUUUAGAUAUGCAAUGACAGCAGCUAGAAUUUUGAUGGCCCAGAAAUGGAAACAGGAAGAAGUGCCGACGAGAGAAGAAUGGAGAUUGAAACGGAUGGAAUAUGCAGAAAUGGACAAAUUAACAGGGAAAAUUCGGAACCAACGCGAUCAGAGAUUCACCGAGGACUGGAAUAAAUUUACAGAGUAUAUCAAAAAUGUAUGUGAGGACCAAUUGACGCUUGUUGGCUUUCAAGAAGCUUUGUGAAAAUGAUUGAUAGAAAUGUUGCUUAAAAGAGAUGAUAAGACUAAGAUUGUUAAAGCGCAAUAUAAAUUUAAGAAAUGCGAGUAAUUGUGAUAAUAUGAAAAUUGUCAGAUAGGCUGGGGG